UUCAGACAUUUUAAUAUUAAUGGAAACAAAUGAGGCCUAAAAAAGGGACCACGAACAGAUCUCUCCAAAUGGGGGCAAAACCACCCUUUGCCAAGCCCAAGGAGUGUCAUCCAACAUGACUUCGUCAAAAAAAAUUUUAAUAUUAUAUAUAUAUAUAUAUAUAUAUAUAUAUAUAUGUAAAAAGACUUCUAGGCCUUCUGCCUCUAAGCUAACUAAACCCACGGAACUCCCUUUACUUUGUCUCUGGAUCGACUCAAUCAAUGAGAAUCAUGGCGAAAUGCUUCUAGCAUGCGAAACAAGUUUAAAGUUCUUCAAAAUGAGAAUAAGGAUUCAUCUCUAUAUAUGAGGAUUACCAGAGGUAUGUCAUUGCAUGUCAAUAAUGUUGAUAAUCCACCUUCGUUUUCAAUCGGGUUAUCUCAGGAUUUUGGGGUUAAUGUAGGGUAUAUGACAGAACAUAAACAAGUUGAACAAUAUCUUGAAUAGAAAUUCAAGAAAAAAAUGACCCAAUGACAAUCAAGAAAGUCAUCAACAACGCGAAAUCUCGCGGCAUUAAGAUUGUUGAAGGUUGAAGCAAGAGAAAAGUCAUAAACAUAAAUCCAGACGAGAUUGGAUCUAUCUCAUUAAAAUUGGACAAAACUAGACAAAUCUGAAAAACAUCAGAUUGUGUAAUUUAUAUAUAAAUUAAUAAAGUUACGUAUAUAGUGAUUUGUGUAUUAAGGUAAUAUAUACAAAGUAUUAUGAGACAAUUGUUAUUUGUAUACAAAUAUUUAGUUUUCUAUAAAAGAAAUUUGUUAAUCAUUGUAUAAUUCAUAUAUAAAAUUAUAGUAUAUUAUACAAA